UUUUUGGUGUAAUUCAACCAGAAAAAUGUUCACUUAAAGAGAAUGACAAGCUAUACAAUGCAAAAUUUUUGCUUUUCAAAAAUUCCAAUUCUAAAGGGUCGAAACAAACCCAAGCAACGCCGGGCGAUACUGCUAGUAACAAAUAAAUUUCUAUUUAUUCUUUUAAUAAAAUACAUUAAUAUUUUCAAAAGAGUUUUAUGUUGUAUACAUUCACCACGAUUAAUCUUUCUCCUUACAGAUCAUGUUUAUAUGUCACAUAAAAGAACUGUCCACAGAGUUACAUUUCAUAACAAAGAACCUGCCCUUCUCCUCAGUGGUUCUCAAGAUGGAGAUAUGAAAAUAUUCGUAAGGCCAUUACCGCUUCUUCACCUGUUUAUCUGAAUCAUUUCACACGCCAUUGAAAAUGCAUGUAAUAUGAUAAUUGAUUAUAAAAUUACAUCCAUGUAAAUUCAGUAAUUUUUUAUAUUUAUUUUAGAAGCCUUCUUAAUGCAAUAAUUAUUUCAGAACCCUUUUCCUUCAUUCAACUGAAUUUCAUCUCUGAUUAUAUAUUUCUGCUUUAUCUAUAUCAAGGACUUUUAUUAUCUUUAUAGGACAUCAGACGGAAAGAUGUGAGCAAAACAUUUUCAGCCAAAGAAAGUGUUCGUGAUGUUCAGUUUUGUCCACAUAGUUCGGGAUAUUUCCGCUUUGCUGCCGGAUUGGAAAAUGGCAUUGUUCAGGUCAUUAAAAGUUUUUUGUUUAUUACACUUUGCUUUGAUUCUUGAUUAUUGCAAGCAGUUGAGAAAUUUACUUUUCCAAUAGAAUAAGUUACUAAUUAGUCUAUUAUAGUCCAUAGAAAUCAUGCUUGAAGCAGCACAAUGCUCCCACCCACCAACUCAUCCGAUUCUGUCAAACCAUUCACUCUGUACCAGCAUAGAAAAUAGAUGCUAAAUGAUGAUGAUGGUGGCGAUGGCAAUGAUAACAAUAUUGUAUUUUUAAAACGAGUUAUUUAUACUGAGAUUUGAGUGUGGUCAUUGCCAAUUCUAGCGUGACUGGCCCCUGUGCCGGUGGCACGUAAAAGCACCUACUACACUCUCGGAGUGGUUGGCGUUAGGAAGGGCAUCCAGCUGUAGAAACUCUACCAGAUCAAGACUGGAGCCUGGUGCAGCCAUCUGGUUCGCCAGCCCUCAGUCAUACGUCCAACGCAUGCUAGCAUGGAAAGCGGACGUUAAACGAUGAGGAUGAUGAUGAUGGUGAUUUGUUUGCUGGCUGUUUAUCUUUGAUGUCUGUCGUCUUAUAUUGACAGCAUUUCAUUCAAUUGUCUGCAAUUAUCUUCAGUUGACAUUCUUGUCCAUUUCUAAACUUCACUAAAUUUUGAUCUUUAAUUCCUGACUACUGGAUCUGUUGCUAAGUAACAUUUUUGUUACCAACCUCACUGAGAUCAGCCUCUUGUCCUAUGAUACGAAUUUCUUGUUUUGAAGUGAACUACGUUAAAAGUGUCCAUCAAAAGAUUAUGUUAAUUUAUAUUCCAAACUCCAGCCUAAUCGUGACAAAGUCGUCUUACUAUAAAUUCUCUAUUAUUUUCAAACUUAAAUGAAGCAAAGACAAUGUAUUUCAAUAUUUCAGCAGAAAUUUGGUAACAGAAGCGUUACAGUUUUUCUUUUUUCUUUCAAACAAAUAGGAAUGGGAUAUUCGACGUCCAGAUCGUCCUGAUAGAGAGAUAAUAGCUCAUACAGGACCAGUGUUCACACUGGACUGGAACCCUAUGGACAAAAACUGGCUUGCCACCGGUGGAAGAGAUAGAGCUAUAAGAGUAAGUAAAGUUGUCUGAUAGUGUAUGCUUUAAAUGUUAGUUUUUCUUCCUGUCAAAGAGUGGAGGAACUUGUAUGAGUCGAUGGGCUUUCAGUAGUGUGUAUAAAGAGGGGGUUAACCUCAAUGAUGAAAAAUCCCUGAGCCAGUCAUAGUGAAGUUAUGGUAGAUAUGAAGUUGGGCAUAUUGAUCUUCAGAAUUUCAUUUGACGAGUCAGGUACAUCAACAUCAAAAAAUCAAAUGGAA
rnacentral:lncRNA from 1 species